rnacentral:rRNA from 1 species
AUUCCCCUAGUAACUGCGAGUGAAGCGGGAAAAGCUCAAAUUUAAAAUCUGGUGGCCUUUGGUCAUCCGAGUUGUAAUUUAGAGAAGCGUCUUCCGCGCUGGACCGUGCACAAGUCUCCUGGAAUGGAGCGUCAUAGAGGGUGAGAAUCCCGUCUUUGGCACGGAUCCCGGUGCUUCUGUGAUGCGCUCUCGAAGAGUCGAGUUGUUUGGGAAUGCAGCUCAAAAUGGGUGGUGAACUCCAUCUAAAGCUAAAUAUUGGCGAGAGACCGAUAGCGAACAAGUACCGUGAGGGAAAGAUGAAAAGCACUUUGGAAAGAGAGUGAAACAGUACGUGAAAUUGUUGAAAGGGAAACGCUUGAAGUCAGUCGCGUCGUCCGAGACUCAGCCUCGCCUCGGCUUGGUGUACUUCUCGACCGACGGGUCAGCAUCAAUUUCACCCCUUGGAUAAUGGCGAGGGAAAUGUGGCACCUUUGCGGGUGCGUUAUAGUCCCUCGUCGCAUGCAAGGGUCGGGAUUGAGGAACUCAGCACGCGCCUUUUGGUGUCGGGGCUUUUGCCCACGAUACGUGCUUAGGAUGUUGGCGUAAUGGCUUUAAACGACCCGUCUUGAAACACGGACCAAGGAGUCUAACAUGCCCGCGAGUGUUCGGGUGGAAAACCCGUGCGCGCAAUGAAAGUGAAAGUUGGGACCUCUGUCGUGGAGGGCACCGACGCCCGGACCAGACCUUCUGUGACGGAUCUGCGGUGGAGCGUGUAUGUUAGGACCCGAAAGAUGGUGAACUAUGCCUGAAUAGGGUGAAGCCAGAGGAAACUCUGGUGGAGGCUCGUAGCGAUUCUGACGUGCAAAUCGAUCGUCAAAUUUGGGUAUAGGGGCGAAAGAC